rnacentral:rRNA from 1 species
AUUGAACGCUGGCGGCAUGCCUUACACAUGCAAGUCGAACGGCAGCACGGGAGCAAUCCUGGUGGCGAGUGGCGAACGGGUGAGUAAUAUAUCGGAACGUGCCCGGUCGUGGGGAUAACGUAGCGAAAGCUACGCUAAUACCGCAUACGAUCUACGGAUGAAAGCGGGGGAUCGCAAGACCUCGCGCGAUUGGAGCGGUCGAUAUCAGAUUAGGUAGUUGGUGAGGUAAAGGCUCACCAAGCCGACGAUCUGUAGCUGGUCUGAGAGGACGACCAGCCACACUGGGACUGAGACACGGCCCAGACUCCUACGGGAGGCAGCAGUGGGGAAUUUUGGACAAUGGGCGCAAGCCUGAUCCAGCAAUGCCGCGUGCAGGAUGAGGGCCUCGG